AAAUUUCAUUCGUCUUCUUGGUGAGCGAGAAAGGGAAGGGUCAAGGGUUGUUUUGUGAACAAGACACGAACUAGGGUUUCUGCAAUAAAAGGAGUCAUUUUCUUGAUCUGCAAAGCGAAAAUGGCAGCAAGCACGAGUCUGUUCAAGUUUCUUCGACCUGGGCUUCGUCCCCAGUCGGCUGAUAUUCAAGCCGCGGCGAUGUGGGGUGUCGCUGCAACCACCGGAGCUCUUUGGCUUAUCCAGCCAUUCGAUUGGUUGAAGAAGACGUUUUUGGAGAAAUCUGAGUCAGAAGGGCAGUGAUUCUUGAUAAUGGAUGGAAUUAAACCACCUUCCGAUCAUCUGACAGGUUUGUGGUGGCGUGUCCAAACAGAGUAUUUAAAAUUUUUAAUAAGGGAACUUUUUUUUUUGUUUGUUUGUUUGUUUUCUUUCGGAGGUAUCUGUGAUAAAUUGAGAUUUAUUAAGGGAACAUGAAUUUUACGUUUUUUACAGUUCUCUCCCUUUAAACCUUUGUGCACUGCUGAAUCUCAUCCAGUUUCACAACCCGUUUAUUUAUUUUUUGUUUGUUUCGGUGCAUAUUUCAUUGAUAGUUGCGUGCAGUUUGGAGGGGAAAUGGUAUAUUGUUGUGUAUACUGGUUAACCA